rnacentral:rRNA from 1 species
GUCUUUUUGAAUUUUAUAAAAAGUCAGGCCUGCCCACUGAAAUAUAUUUAAAGGCUGCGGUAUUUUGACCGUACAAAGGUAGCAUAAUCAUUAGUUUUUUAAUUGGGGACUAGAAUGAAUGGUUAAAUGAAAUAUUGACUUUUUUAAUUAAAUAAUAGAAUUUUACUUUUUAAUUAAAAGGUUGAGAUAAAUUUAAAAGACGAGAAGACCCUAUAGAGUUUAAUAAUUAUUUUUUUUUGUUUUAUUUAGUAAAAUUUAUUAUAUAUAAAUAUAAUUAUUUUGUUGGGGUGAUAAUAAAAUUUAAUAAACUUUUAUUUAUUUAUACAUUAAUAAAUGAUUAUUUGAUCCAUUUUUAAUGAUUAAAAAUUUAAAUUACCUUAGGGAUAACAGCGUAAUUUUUUUUUAAGUUCUUAUUAAUAAAAAAUUUUGCGACCUCGAUGUUGGAUUAAGAGUUAAUUUUAGGUGCAGCAGUUUAAAAUUUAAGUCUGUUCGACUUUUAAAUUCUU